rnacentral:lncRNA from 10 species
UUGCUGCCAGGCCUCCCCUGUCCCCUUGUCCCCUUACUGGUGGAAUACUGUUUGCCCAGAACCCACUCCUUCCCAGCCCACGGGCCCUCUUUCUUCUUGGUUGUCAGAUCCUCCUUCUUGCUCCCCAAAUGACCCUGUGGCUCUCAGUCUCAGAGCCUCCCUCUCUCCCUGCAGACAAACCUGCAGAAUCUGAGUCAACUGCCUCCACACCACCGACCUCCACCCUGCAGGCUCUCGGGAUUACUGGGGUCUCUCACUCUAUGCUGUGUUCUGAAUGUGUCCCCGAAAACUCAUGUGUUGGAAAUGUACUCCCCAGUGCAACUGUGUUGAGUGGGAGGUGGGGCCUAAUGGGAGAUGUUUAUGUCAUGAGAGCUCCGGUCUCAGGAACGGAUUUUUGCUGCCAUAAAAAGGGCUUGCGGCCAGGUGUGGUGGCUCACACCUGUAAUCCCAGCACUUUGAGUGGCCAAGGUGGGCGGAUCAUGAGGUCAGGAGUUCGAGACCAUCCUGGCCAACAUAGUGAAAUCCCAUCUCUACUAAAAAUACAAAAAUUGGCCGGGCGCGGUGGCUCACACCUGUAAUCCCAGCACUUUGGGAGGCCGAGGCGGGCGGAUCAUGAGGUCAGGAGAUCCAGACCAUCCUGGCUAACAUGGUGAAACCCCGUCUCUACUAAAAAUACAAAAAAUUAGCCAGGCAUGGUGGCGGGCGCCUGUAGUCCCAGCUACUCGGGAGGCUGAGGCAGGAGAAUGGCGUGAACCUGGGAGGCAGAGCUUGCAGUGAGCCAAGAUCACGCCACUGCACUCCAGCCUGGCUGGGC